UACGUAGGGGGCUAGCGUUGUCCGGAUUUAUUGGGCGUAAAGAGCGUGUAGGCGGCCAUGUAGGUCCGUUGUGAAAACUCGAGGCUCAACCUCGAGACGCCGAUGAAACCAUGUGGCUAGAGUCGGAAGAGGAGAGUGGAAUUCCGUGGUGUAGCGGUGAAAUGCGCAGAUAUCAGGAGAACACCGAGCGAAGGCGGCUCUGUGAUGACUCUGAGGACGAAGAGCGUGGGGGAGCG
rnacentral:rRNA from 1 species